AUGGACCCCGACGGCAUCGUCCGUGCCUACGUCCACCCUAAGAAUGGUGAUGGCCGCGAGAACACAACAUCUUGGACCGUGUCAGGCACGCUCCCCAGUGAAGGGGGCUGCAAGAUGAAGACGACCCGGAUGCAAGGCAUGUGCGGCCCCGGGUCUUAUUGCGUGGAGACCAAAGAACGGCUCAAAUGCCUAUGCCCGAGCGGGUACACUUAUAUUGACGCGCAGCACAGCGACAGCGGCUGCACGCCAGAGUUGGAGCCGCAGAGCUCUGGCGAGCAGAACAGCCCCGACAAGUUCUCGCUCGUAGAGCUGCCAAACACAACUUGGGAGGUGUCAAUAUACUACAAGAAGUUCCCGUCAGUCUCGGAGGAGCAAUGCCGGGACUACUGCCUCAGCGACUGCUUCUGCGUGGCCGCGCUGAUGAUCGGUGGGUCUGACUGUGCGGAGUUGGGGGCACUCGCGUACGGACGGCAGGGAAACAACCUGACGACAAAGGCGCUGAUCAAGGUGCGGACAAGGAAUUCUCAGUUGAUCACGUCGGCGAGAAUGAGAAAUGCAUUGGCCUACAAGGUUGUGGCCAUUUGCUUGGGCAUUCUUUUCUUGAUCACAGUCGGUGGCCUUCUGGCACAUCAUUACCUCAUCAGGAACAGAGAUAGCCAGAGGUUGUUGAGCUCGAGCGUAAGAGCAUUCAGCUGGAAGGAGCUUUACCAGGCCACCAAUGGCUUCGAGAAACUGCCGGGCAAAGGGAGCUUCGGGGAGGUCUACAAAGGAACGAUAAGAUCACCGCAGCCGCAUCUCAUCGCAGUGAGAGUUAUUUACCCCAAACCACCACAUUAUGGGCCUAAUCUGUAA
rnacentral:rRNA from 1 species